UAUUCGUUUGUUUUUUUCUCCAUUUCUUGCCUAUUACCAAAAGUGGUGGAUAAAUACUGUCAAACCGGCUAACUAUUCAGUCUUUGGAUAUGAAAGACGAACAAAUAAUAAUAUCGAAGCAUACCACAGGAUUUUGCACAUUAGAAUGAAUGUACAUCCCAUGAUAUGGAAAUUUACAGAAGAUUUGCUCCAACUUCAACUGAUUACUUCAACUGAAGUAUUAUCUUUGCGGCGUGGCUUGAGUGUCAGGAGAAUGCUUCAGAGGAAAAUUGUUGUGAAAGGAGAAAUUAUAAAAAGAGUCUGGUUUUUAUAUACGACAAAUCAUUUGACUGUUGAUCAAUUACUAACUGCGGCAAGUCAUUUUAUAGCUGCAGGUGGGAACCAAUUUUUAAUUUCGGAUCCUCAAGAUCUUCGAAUUUUCGUCAACGAUCUCUGUUUUAAUGACAUUGUUAAUUUGUUUCGCAUUCCGCAAAUAACAAUCAUCGACCAUAUAAUAGCUGUUGAUGACGAUGACCUGCUUGUUGGUAAGUU